rnacentral:rRNA from 1 species
UACGUAGGGGCAAGGCGUUGUCCGGAUUUAUUGGGCGUAAAGAGCGUGUAGGCGGCCAGGUAGGUCCGUUGUGAAAACUCGAGGCUCAACCUCGAGACGCCGAUGGAAACCAUCUGGCUAGAGUCCGGAAGAGGAGAGUGGAAUUCCCGGUGUAGCGGUGAAAUGCGCAGAUAUCGGGAAGAACACCCGUGGCUAAGGCGGCUCUCUAGUACGGUACUGACGCUGAGACGCGAAAGCGUGGGGAGCGAACGAGGA